rnacentral:rRNA from 1 species
GACGAACGCUGGCGGCGUGCUUAACACAUGCAAGUCGAACGGAAAGGCCCUGCUUUUGUGGGGUGCUCGAGUGGCGAACGGGUGAGUAACACGUGAGUAACCUGCCCUUGACUUUGGGAUAACUUCAGGAAACUGGGGCUAAUACCGGAUAGGAGCUCCUGCUGCAUGUUGGGGGUUGGAAAGUUUCGGCGGUUGUGGAUGGACUCGCGGCUUAUCAGCUUGUUGGUGGGGUAGUGGCUUACCAAGGCUUUGACGGGUAGCCGGCCUGAGAGGGUGACCGGCCACAUUGGGACUGAGAUACGGCGCAGAAGCCUACGGGAGGCAGCAGGGGGGAAUAUUGCACAAUGGGCGGAAGCCUGAGGCAGCAACGCCGCGUGCGGGAUAACGGCCUUCGGGUUGUAAACCGAUGUGGAAUGUGACGAAGAGUGAGUGACGGUAAUGGGUAAAGAAGCACCGGCUAACUACGUG